GAUGAACGCUGGCGGCGUGCCUAAUACAUGCAAGUCGAGCGAACAGACGAGGAGCUUGCUCCUCUGACGUUAGCGGCGGACGGGUGAGUAACACGUGGAUAACCUACCUAUAAGACUGGGAUAACUUCGGGAAACCGGAGCUAAUACCGGAUAAUAUAUUGAACCGCAGGGUUCAAUAGUGAAAGACGGUUUUGCUGUCACUUAUAGAUGGGUCCGCGCCGCAUUAGCUAGUUGGUAAGGUAACGGCUUACCAAGGCAACGAUGCGUAGCCGACCUGAGAGGGUGAUCGGCCACACUGGAACUGAGACACGGUCCAGACUCCUACGGGAGGCAGCAGUAGGGAAUCUUCCGCAAUGGGCGAAAGCCUGACGGAGCAACGCCGCGUGAGUGAUGAAGGUCUUCGGAUCGUAAAACUCUGUUAUUAGGGAAGAACAAAUGUGUAAGUAACUAUGCACGUCUUGACGGUACCUAAUCAGAAAGCCACGGCUAACUACGUG
rnacentral:rRNA from 1 species